rnacentral:rRNA from 1 species
UACGUAGGGUGCGAGCGUUAAUCGGAAUUACUGGGCGUAAAGCGUGCGCAGGCGGUUUUGUAAGCCAGAUGUGAAAGCCCCGGGCUUAACCUGGGAAUGGCAUUUGGGACUGCAAGGCUUGAGUGCGGCAGAGGAGACUGGAAUUCCUGGUGUAGCAGUGAAAUGCGUAGAUAUCAGGAGGAAUACCCGUGGCGAAGGCGGCUCUCUGGGACGGUACUGACGCUGAGACGCGAAAGCGUGGGGAGCGAACAGG